rnacentral:lncRNA from 1 species
UGCCGCCAUUUUGGAACCGGAAGUCACUCUUUUAUUCAUUUAUGUGUGGUUUUGUCGUACUUUAGGACCUGUAAUUUACGUUUUAUCAAAAUUUACAUUGGAUUAUACCCAUAACACAGCUUUCAAUGAUUUACGAAACGUAGCCAAUUGGAUAUGACGCCAUUUUCAAAAUGAUCGGUGGCCAUCUUGAAAAAAUAGAAAUUUUUAGUGGCCAGCACCUAAUUUUUUUUAAUUAUCAUUUAGUCAACCUGUAUUCCAAAUUUCA